CCUUUGGAGGGUUUGAUCCUGGCUCAGAGUGAACGCUGGCGGCGUGGAUUAGGCAUGCAAGUCGAGCGAUCUUUUAUUUGUGAGAAAGCCGACCUUCGGGAAAGCUGACGAGUAAUUUGAAGAUAGCGGCAAACGGGUGAGUAACGCGUGGGUAACCUACCUUAAGGAGGAAGAUAGCUUCGCGAAAGCGGAGGUAAUA
rnacentral:rRNA from 1 species